GGAGCAACGCCGCGUGNGUGAUGAAGGUUUUCGGAUCGUAAAGCUCUGUUGUUAGGGAAGAACAAGUGCCGUUCAAAUAGGGCGGCACCUUGACGGUACCUAACCAGAAAGCCACGGCUAACUACGUGCCAGCAGCCGCGGUAAUACGUAGGUGGCAAGCGUUGUCCGGAAUUAUUGGGC
rnacentral:rRNA from 1 species